UUGGUCGUGGGCUCGUCGCCCUGAGCCCCUGACCAGUUCUUCCCCGGCUCUUCCAAAACCUAACCCUCAACCCCAACCACGCCGCCGCCACCACCAACCACUCGACCGCAGCGCCGGCUUCGUCCCCAAACACAGACGCCGCCGACCGCCUAGUCGUCGCCGAGCACCCUUCUCUAACAAGGAAACCCUUCAUCGGUUCGUCCCCAUCCCCCGCGCACCCAGCGCCUGCUUUCUCUCGAGGAAAGCCGUCGUCCGCCCUCCAUCCCCACCACAAUAACGACCUCCUCCACAAGUUUCCUCCGCCGAGCAGGCCUCCUCCUACUCCUCAAGCUUUCUCCCCCGAGCAGGGCCUCCUCCUCCACGAGCAUCCUUCCCUGAGCACUAAGUUGGGGUCGCCUCCUGUUUCCCUCACCCGAGCAGCGGGCCUUCCUGUACAGCCCCCCUCCCGAGAAGCUCCACCUCCUCUACAUCCUCCCCCAGGUGCAGCGCCGCCUCCUUGCUCACCGAGAGCACUUGGCCGCUCUGAAGAUAACGACUAGCUUUGUCAUCCGAUAAACCAAGUUUUGCUUAUGGUGAAGAGAUCUUCCAUUGCAGCAAAUGGAUGCUUCAAGCCUUCAACUACAUACUAAAUCAGUGAAUCCCAGUAGGGGUACUACAUGCAAGCUUUGGGAAAUUAAGUUUAAAGCUGAGAGUGACUUAUAAGUUCAUGGCAAAAGCAGCAACACGAGUACGCAACCACAAGCAAGCUGAGGAGUUACAUAUAUGCAUAUCUUAUGCUCAUUUCACCAAAGUUUGGCCGACCUUUUGGUGUCUAUUAUUUGUGUACGUUUCAUCGCUUUAGAAGUAAUAUUCAAUCCAAAUCUUUUCUUUAAUAAAGCAAUUCAGCUAGUAUGUUUGCAAGCAAAUUUAUGCCAGGACAAGUACUAGUAGUGGAGCCAAGAACAUAUUAGGGCACGAUGGUUAAUGGAGUAUUCACGCAGGUUCUUGUCAAACUUUGCUAUCAAUUUAUUGCCAUAUCCCCCGGCAUGCAAAUUCGCUCAAAGUCAUUUAAAAUCUCGGAGUUUCCAGGGAACACAUAUGGAACUGGGAUAUAUGGGUUUCUACAAGUUUUGCGCUUCAUAUUUCAACUAGUUCCAGUCAAAGCCAAUUUCAUGUUUCUGGUUACAAGAAAAAUCAGUUAACACUUAACUAGGUUUCAACAAGUUUCUUCAUACAAACAGAUUUCUGGUUAUCAGCAAAAUCAGUUAGCACUUAAGUAGAUUUCAGCUAGUUUCAUAUAGGUGUUGUUUUGCAAUAUGCUUGACCAAGGCCACCAUAGUUACUAUGAAUGUCUACAUUCAGUUAAAUCUAAGAUACACCCUUUGUUCUCAGGAUUUUGUUAGCAGCUUGUUAAUAAUGCACUUGCCUCUAAAUUGUCAGUUACCUCUGAGAGUUGAUACAUUUUACUGUCUCGAGAUUCUUUUGGCGUCCCUGAACAGUUUCCGCUGAUCCAAAUUAUCAUCCCUCAUGUUAUGGGCCUCAAAGAGUAGCUGAAAGACUCAUUUAAGCUGCAAGUGUAUAAGUCUAGCAAAUGCAGUAAUGUGACCACAAGCCAGUUGAGGAGGUUUCUCAAGAUACACAAGUUGUUGGAGGUUUGGAAGAUGUACAAGUUGCUGGAGGUUUUGAAGGUCUGACAAGUUGCUGGAGUGAUGAUAUAUAUGUAAUAUGUCUUGUUUGUCGAACCUCCAUAUAUUGACAAGUUUUACACUGGUCAUUUUGGUGGUUGUUUCAGCAGACAAGCCAUUGUAUGCCAAUUUUGGUUGUGUGGCACGAUUUCUUUACCUUAAACAUAUGUACUUUGCAUUUUGAGGCAUAAUGUCUAUAUAUGUAUGGUUCAUGCAUGUGUUAAAAACAUAUGUUUUUGGUCUAUUUAUGUUAUUGCAUGAGGUCUUACAUGUAAUCUGAUUGAACAUAUGUGUAAGUUGUGUGAUCUGUCC